rnacentral:rRNA from 1 species
AUUGAACGCUGGCGGCAUGCCUUACACAUGCAAGUCGAACGGCAGCACGGGUGCUUGCACCUGGUGGCGAGUGGCGAACGGGUGAGUAAUACAUCGGAACAUGUCCUGUAGUGGGGGAUAGCCCGGCGAAAGCCGGAUUAAUACCGCAUACGAUCUACGGAUGAAAGCGGGGGCCCUUCGGGCCUCGCGCUAUAGGGUUGGCCGAUGGCUGAUUCGCUAGUUGGUGGGGUAAAGGCCUACCAAGGCGACGAUCAGUAGCUGGUCUGAGAGGACGACCAGCCACACUGGGACUGAGACACGGCCCAGACUCCUACGGGAGGCAGCAGUGGGGAAUUUUGGACAAAGGGCGAAAGCCUGAUCCAGCAAUGCCGCGUGUGUGAAGAAGGCCUUCGGGUUGUAAAGCACUUUUGUCCGGAAAGAAAUCCUUGGCCCUAAUACGGUCGGGGGAUGACGGUACCGGAAGAAUAAGCACCGGCUAACUACGUG